rnacentral:ncRNA from 1 species
ACAGGGGCGCUGGGCGACCGGCUGAGAUUGCGUUUUCGCAUGUCCCUUAAACCUGAUCCGGGUAAUGCCGGCGUAGGAAGCUGCUU